UACGUAGGGUGCAAGCGUUUGUCCGGAAUUAUUGGGCGUAAAGAGCUCGUAGGCGGUCUGUCGCGUCGGAUGUGAAAAUCCAGGGCUCAACCCUGGACCUGCAUUCGAUACGGGCAGACUAGAGUUCGGUAGGGGAGACUGGAAUUCCUGGUGUAGCGGUGAAAUGCGCAGAUAUCAGGAGGAACACCGGUGGCGAAGGCGGUCUGCUGGGCGGUGAACUCGCAAGAGUUCAAUAGCCGACACUGAGGCGCGACAGCGUGGGGAGCAAACAGG
rnacentral:rRNA from 1 species